UCUUGGUUAGCUCAGUUGGUAGAGCGCUCCACUGGAAAUGGAGAAGCCCUGUGCGAUACCAGGACCAGCGG
rnacentral:tRNA from 1 species